ACACUUAAAAGCUCAAUGCUUUAACGUUCAAGCACCGAAAUUCGACUGUCCACUUCAACAUCCACACACUGAAUGACGUUGACUUUACACAGCGACUGUUCCAAAAAUGUUUGGAUAAGUCGAAAACCAAGGAAAAAACUACCGCAACAUCUGUUCCAUCAGCCUCAACAGCCAGUGACAGAAGCAGAAAGAGGACUCUCAAAGAUGCCCAACUAGAGGCCCUGGAAAGCCUAUCAGAGAUGAGCAGGGCGGGGGCAGAAUGUUUUAGGAAAGUGGCCCGUCUUGCAGACUUUCUCAUUGCUAAAUUAGAAAAAAAAUAAAAAAUUAUU